GAGUUUGAUCCUGGCUCAGGAUGAACGCUGGCGGCGUGCCUAACACAUGCAAGUCGAGCGAAGCACAUAAGUUAGAAUCUUCGGAGGAAGACAUAUGUGACUGAGCGGCGGACGGGUGAGUAACGCGUGGGUAACCUGCCUUACACAGGGGGAUAACAGUUAGAAAUGACUGCUAAUACCGCAUAAGACCACAGUACUGCAUGGUACAGUGGUAAAAACUGAGGUGGUGUAAGAUGGACCCGCGUCUGAUUAGGUAGUUGGUGGGGUAACGGCUCACCAAGCCGACGAUCAGUAGCCGGCCUGAGAGGGUGGACGGCCACAUUGGGACUGAGACACGGCCCAGACUCCUACGGGAGGCAGCAGUGGGGAAUAUUGCACAAUGGGGGAAACCCUGAUGCAGCGACGCCGCGUGAGCGAUGAAGUAUUUCGGUAUGUAAAGCUCUAUCAGCAGGGAAGAAAAUGACGGUACCUGUCUAAGAAGCCCCGGCUAACUACGUGCCAGCAGCCGCGGUAAUACGUAGGGGGCAAGCGUUAUCCGGAUUUACUGGGUGUAAAGGGAGCGUAGACGGCAUGGCAAGCCAGAUGUGAAAUACCGGGGC
rnacentral:rRNA from 1 species